rnacentral:lncRNA from 1 species
UGUUGUUUGCGUUUUCUUUAGAUAAAACAAUAAUUGCGAGUUUAGAGUUUCUCAAUUGCAUACAUCGGCUGUUUCAGAUGUCUUGGAGUAUUUAGGGUUUUUCAAUCAACUUGAUGUCGUCGAGAAUCACCAGGGUUUUGUGAGAAUUGCGAGUUUAAGGUUUUCCAAUCAUGGAAUUUGACGAUCAUCUGACGUGUUCUUGGUCUGCCGUAGAAUUAAUUAACAGUUGAUUGGGCGUAUUUGUAGCAGGUUGUUAUUGUAGCGUGGAUUGCUUUCUUGGGGAUAUGAAUAGCAAAUCAAGAUGGAACACUUCUUACUCAAAUUAAGAGAUGCUUCUGAAGCAGAAACAAGUCAUCGAAUGCCCUUCCAUAUGAUACAUCUGGUCAAACCUUAUGGCAUUUGAGAAACCAUAAGGAGCCCCACCUCAGCUGUUGGCAGAUUUUCUAACGCCUUGAAGUUUAUCGUCGAAGAGUCCUCAGCCCCCUGGAGCUUAACGGAAACUGAAACAGAUUAUGCAAUAAUGCUAUGACGCACAUAUUCGACAAACUUGUCUCGAAGUACAGUACUGGGGCAGUUACUGACUUACUGGAUAUGUCAUAUAGUUGUCAUAGAUGCUUUUAAAGCGGAAGAAUUUGCUGAGGUGGCAACGAAGCCUCUGAAAGCCCUUCCAUAUGACACACCUGGUUGAAGUUUAUGGCAUUUGAGUACCCCAUAAGGGGUCCCAGCUCAUCUGUUGGCAGAUUUUUGACAUGUUGAAGUUUAUCGUCAAAGAGGGGUGACAAGUGUAAUACAAAGAUGCUGUUAGUGGAUUAUAUAGAUGCUGCAUGUGCAAAUUUGAUGAAGUUCAACGCGUGAACUUUUUCCCGAGUGAAGUUUCACGCGUGGAACUUAAUGGUGGCGGCGGUGUUCCGAUGCUCAUCACUCGUGAUGGAACCUCCAUCAAGGACCACCCCCAGUCCCCUUAUUAGUUAAACAAUGUAAAAGAAGGUUGUGAAUGUAUGAGAUUGCUUUGACAAUUUGAAACUUUCCUUUUUUAUGUACUCGUUAAACCUUUUCUUUAUUAAGAAGAUUCAGUUUCUCUUUUGUC